rnacentral:rRNA from 1 species
ACUCCUGCGGGAGGCAGCAGUGGGGAAUUUUGGACAAUGGGCGAAAGCCUGAUCCAGCAAUGCCGCGUGAGUGAAGAAGGCCUUCGAGUUGUAAAGCUCUUUUGUCAGGGAAGAAACGGUGAAAGCUAAUAUCUUUUGCUAAUGACGGUACCUGAAGAAUAAGCACCGGCUAACUACGUGCCAGCAGCCGCGGUAAUACGUAGGGUGCAAGCGUUAAUCGGAAUUACUGGGCGUAAAGCGUGCGCAGGCGGUUUUGUAAGUCUGAUGUGAAAUCCCCGGGCUCAACCUGGGAAUUGCAUUGGAGACUGCAAGGCUAGAAUCUGGCAGAGGGGGGUAGAAUUCCACGUGUAGCAGUGAAAUGCGUAGAUAUGUGGAGGAACACCGAUGGCGAAGGCAGCCCCCUGGGUCAAGAUUGACGCUCAUGCACGAAAGCGUGGGGAGCAAACAGGAUUAGAUACCCGUGUAGUCCCAUGA